CGCGAGGGCGUGCUAUACUGCAGUCGUACGCUUCUUUUUCCACCGGAGCUUGCUCCACCGGAAAAAGAAGAGUGGCGAACGGGUGAGUAACACGUGGGUAACCUGCCCAUCAGAAGGGGAUAACACUUGGAAACAGGUGCUAAUACCGUAUAACAAUCGAAACCGCAAGGUUUUGAUUUGAAAGGCGCUUUCGGGUGUCGCUGAUGGAUGGACCCGCGGUGCAUUAACUAGUUGGUGAGGUAACGGCUCACCAAGGCCACGAUGCAUAGCCGACCUGAGAGGGUGAUCGGCCACAUUGGGACUGAGACACGGCCCAAACUCCUACGGGAGGCAGCAGUAGGGAAUCUUCGGCAAUGGACGAAAGUCUGACCGAGCAACGCCUCGUGAGUGAAGAAGGUUUUCGGAUCGUAAAACUCUGUUGUUAGAGAAGAACAAGGAUGAGAGUAACUGUUCAUCCCUUGACGGUAUCUAACCAGAAAGCCACGGCUAACUACGUGCCAGCAGCCGCGGUAAUACGUAGGUGGCAAGCGUUGUCCGGAUUUAUUGGGCGUAAAGCGAGCGCAGGCGGUUUCUUAAGUCUGAUGUGAAAGCCCCCGGCUCAACCGGGGAGGGUCAUUGGAAACUGGGAGACUUGAGUGCAGAAGAGGAGAGUGGAAUUCCAUGUGUAGCGGUGAAAUGCGUAGAUAUAUGGAGGAACACCAGUGGCGAAAAGCGGCUCUCUGGUCUGUAACUGACGCUGAUGCUCGAAAGCGUGAGGAGCAAACAGGAUUAGAUACCCUGGUAGUCCACGCCGUAGACGAUGAGUGCUAAGUGUUGGAGGGUUUCCGCCCUUCAGUGCUGCAGCUAACGCAUUAAGCACUCCGCCUGGGGAGUACGACCGCAAGGUUGAAACUCAAAGGA
rnacentral:rRNA from 1 species